UACGUAGGGUGCGAGCGUUGUCCGGAAUUAUUGGGCGUAAAGGGCUCGUAGGCGGUCUGUUGCGUCAGGAGUGAAAACUCGGGGCUUAACCCCGAGCCUGCUUCUGAUACGGGCAGACUAGAGGUAUGCAGGGGAGAACGGAAUUCCUGGUGUAGCGGUGAAAUGCGCAGAUAUCAGGAGGAACGCCGGUGGCGAAGGCGGUUCUCUGGGCAUUACCUGACGCUGAGGAGCGAAAGUGUGGGGAGCGAACAGG
rnacentral:rRNA from 1 species